UGUGUCCUGUUUUAUAGACUUCUGAUAACUUUUGUUCUUCCUCUUUGGAUUUUUUCUAAUUUAUCUACAUCUCUCUUAAAGUGCCCUGUCCAAAACUGCACACAGUUAUCCAGAUGUGAUCUUACUAGUGCUGAACAGAAUGGAAGAACCACUUCCUCUGAUUUGCAGAUAAAAGUUGCGGGGUGCCUGGUUGUUUCCAGCAAGAAAAGAGCAACAGUGUUGGGAGAUGCAGAGGAAUGAGAUUACAAACCUGAUGUCCCUUUGUCAGCCCUGCCUAGAAUCUGCAGAAUCUGAACUGUUCCUCUGCCACACAACUCUGUUUCAUUCUGAACUCCAGAACAGUCAAGCGUCAAAUAUCACAACUGAUGUGUGAAUUCAAGACUGUGCUAAGCUCUCCUCCCUUUUAAGCCUUGACUCAAACUAAGAUGGAAAACUGACAAAAGGG
rnacentral:lncRNA from 1 species